rnacentral:ribozyme from 1 species
GAUCCGAAGCCCCCUUGAGGGUUAAUACAGGCUCUCCCAUCCAACUCCUAUUCCGACACGUCCUCGUCGUGCAGAGUGN